rnacentral:rRNA from 1 species
UGAAUACGAGACGCUAAGGCGUCGAAGUAGUGUAUGUCAUACUUCCAAGAAAAGCUUGCACUGUCAUAGAUAAAAAACGCCUGUACCAUAACCGACACAGGUGGGUAGGUAGAGUAUACUAAGGGGCGCGAGAUAACUCUCUCUAAGGAACUCGGCAAAAUAACUCCGUAACUUCGGGAGAAGGAGUGCCUUAUUCUUAAGGUUGCAAUAACAAGAUCCAAGCAACUGUUUAUCAAAAACACAGGUCUCCGCUAAGUCGUAAGACGAUGUAUGGGGGCUGACGCCUGCCCAGUGCCAGAAGGUUAAAGAAGCUGGUUAGCAUUUGCGAAGCUAGUAACUGAAGCCCUGGUGAACGGCGGCCGUAACAAUAACGGUCCUAAGGUAGCGAAAUUCCUUGUCGGGUAAGUUCCGACCCGCACGAAAGGCGUAAUGAUUUGGAUACUGUCUCGGAGAGGGGCUCGGUGAAAUAGACUUGUCUGUGAAGAUGCGGACUACCUGCACCAGGACAGAAAGACCCUAUGAAGCUUUACUGUAACUUGAAAUUGAAAUUGGACUUUAUUCGCGCAGUAUAGGUGGGAGGCGUUGAUUAUAAUCUUGCGGGAUUAUUGGAGCCAUUAGUGAGAUACCACUCUUGUAAUGUUAGAUUUCUAACUUUGAAUCAUUAUCUGGUCAAAGAACAGUUUCAGGCGGGCAGUUUGACUGGGGCGGUCGCCUCCUAAACGGUAACGGAGGCGUACAAAGGUUUCCUCUGAACGGUUAGAAAUCGUAUCUAGAGUGUAAAGGCAUAAGGAAGCUUGACUGUGAGACCUACAAGUCGAGCAGGGACGAAAGUCGGUCUUAGUGAUCUGACGGUACUGAGUGGAAAGGCCGUCACUCAACGGAUAAAAGUUACUCUAAGGAUAACAGGCUGAUCUCCCCCAAGAGUUCACAUCGACGGGGAGGUUUGGCACCUCGAUGUCGGCUCAUCGCAUCCUGGGGCGGUAGUACGUCCCAAGGGUUGGGCUGUUCGCCCAUGAAAGCGGUACGCGAGCUGGGUUCAGAACGUCGUGAGACAGUUCGGUCCAUAUCCGGUGUAGGCGUUAGAAUAUUGAGAGGAGCCUUCUUUAGUACGAGAGGACCGAGAAGGACAUACCUCUGGUGUACCAGUUAUCGUGCCAACGGUAAACGCUGGGUAGCUAUGUAUGGAGUGGAUAACCGCUGAAAGCAUCUAAGUGGGAAGCCCACCUCAAGAUAAGUAUUCUCAAC